AAGUCGUAACAAGGUUUCCGGAGGUGAACCUGCGGAAGAAUCAUUAACACGUAUCCGAACGUUAAAACCCCCCCCGUGAACCUUCAUCCUGCUCUUGUAACCCGCGUAGUUCGCAAUCUCUGAUAAAUCAUAGCCCGGAAAGUUGUAGUGAUUCAGAGACCUCUGGCUACGUGCGAACAUUAGGCAAUGUUUCCCCAAGCAGUCAGUGUCGGAAAGUGUCAUGCAAGGAUAGCGCUUCUACGAUUCCUGUAGACCGUACACUCGGGCAGGAGCUUUGCCAAAGGGUCCCCAUGCCCCCUAAUAACCCCACAGUUUAAUGUGAAGCUCAAAGUAAUACAUUGGGUAAAAAAACCGAACAACGGUUAACAAUGGAUAUCUUGGUUCUC
rnacentral:misc_RNA from 1 species